CCCCCCGUCCCGGGUCUGCACGGGGAUCCGCGGAGACGCGAGUGCCCCCCGGCCGCGGGGAGAACAAGGAGGAAAAACGAGAUCAAAUGGUGCGGAGGAAUUUAGAGGGUCUUCGCCCGGCACUUUGAAAAUGCAAAUCCCCAGGUCUUAAAUAUGAUUGUUAUUCAAUUCCAUUUUCUGCUGAUAAAGAUGCGGAAAAAGGAAAAAUCGCCUCUCAGGGUACAAAUGCGAAGCGUGUAAAAGUCGCCUCUGAGGAUGCAGAUGCGAAGCGCGGUCCCCAGGGCUGCUAGCGCGGGCGUCUUGAUUUGACAUCGGGAUUUUGGGGAGCCGGGGCAAAUGGAGAGAAGAUCCUUUAUAAAACGCCUUUGUGUUUAACGUCUUCGAUAAAAUACUUAGAAAUGCCCUUGUAAAUCGGUGAAGCCGAAUGGGAGCAGCUCUCCUGGGCUAGCUCAAGUCGCAGUUUUUCAUCCCUCGUGUGAUCUAAGCAGGGACAUAAUAACUGGAGAAUUCUUCCCAUUAUAUUUCGUUUUAAAGUGAGCAAACAGACAGUUUGGGAAUGCAGAAUCGCUUAAAGUGAGCGUGAUGAAGAAGUAUGAUUUUGGGUCUCCUUUAAUCAUAAGAAGAGAAUUUUUUUGCGGUGUUUUUUUUUUUCUUUCUGUCACUGUUGCUGCUACUGAUUUUUUUUUUUUGCAUCUUUUUGGGGAAGAGCUCGCUGUGUGCGUGUGUGUUUGGAGUCACAGCAGCAGGAGGAAUUUUUACAUUUUAUUUUGCAAGGUGUCUGUUUCCUUCUGUCCUUCCUUGCCUAUAAACAUUUAUUAUUUUUAACUGUUUUGCAUCCCUUUGGAGAGGGGUCAUAUCAAAAAUGCUAUUUAGUAGGCUAAACAGAAAGCUGGCACCUGAAAGAAGAAGUUUAUAAGGAAAUCAUAGCUAAUAAGGGCACCUAAAAGACAAGAAGCAGGUAGAUUUUAAAAGAAACUUUCUUUCGCGUUUGAAGAGCUAAGCUGGAAAUUUUAUUCUCUAAAAUUACAACAAGUCCGUGUUUAUCCGUUUGCUCAAAAAGCCUGUGAUCGUCCCGGUGGGGAGAGGAACAGUUAGUGGUAUCAGCCGUAUCGCUCGAAAUUGCGAUUUUUGCUUCGGGGACGUGAUGCAUUUGGGAAAAGGCAGAGCCAUCUAGAGGCACAGCCCGGCUAUUACGAGGCCGUGCGAAAGGCUGUUUCCCUCCAAGGCAGGGUAUGUUGCCUCCAGUUUUCUUCGGUUGAUUCCUCUACCUCCAACAAAGGAAACAGAGAGGCCUGGGAGAUGUUUGCCUUCGAGAAAUGCGAGAAGAAGCCAGCGAGCGAGGUGCUGAAACUCAAAAGCGAAAUUGGUUUCGAGGUCACUGGGACGUUCAUUAACACCGGCGUUACUAGCCGCGGCAGCGAGGUCUGCGGUAGGAGAUCCCAUGGCACCUUGGAGUCAGGGCUGAACUGUAUCCCCAGCCAGCUCUGUGAUUACCCGCGAACCUCUCCAGCUUCCUUUGAAGGUGUUUCAAGACCAGUUGAGGGGAAGCGCCGCAGGAGAGCGAGGUCUUAACCGUCCUUGGGUUGUACUAGCGAUACCGUUUGCUUUGGUGCUGUGCUGGUCCUUGUUGUCCAUGCGGUAGGCACUUUUCUCGCUGGGAGGAAGACGUCUUUGCCUCUAAGGCCUUGCUCCUCUGAACAUGUAGGUACAAGCUUAACUUUACUGUGUGAAUCUCAGGUGUGUACAGUUGAACACCAAAACCUGAAAAUGCUUCAGACCUGAGCGCUCAGCCUUGCAGCGGGAAUGAACACCUCCACCUACCUGGGUCUCCCUCCAUUUCCUGAAAAUGCUGAGAUCUAGCCAUAGGGAUCAUGUUGGAGGAUCGGGACCCAAUAGCUCAUGUUGGCUGCUAUUGGCUCUACCAGUAGGAUAUAGACCAGAAUCCCUUCGAUGGCUCCGAAUUGCUACAGUGAAGCUGGAACCACAGGUUUGGUUUGUUUUGGCUGCAUUUGCAAUGUAAGUCUCGCUUUCUCCCCAGGGCUGACAAGAGGCAAGGCAGUAACUCUGCGGCCCGCAUACAAAAGAAUUCUUCAUGUGCGGAUUGUGUCUUUCUCCAGAGUCAUCAACAAAAUUGGGAGUGAAUUCUUCAUCCUCCAAGACAAUUUGGGAGAAUUAUCUUUUUCCUAGCAGUGGUCCAGGACCUUUGCUCUACCUUCAUUCUUCAAGAAUAUCCGCAAGGAACUGACCAAGAAGAGCUCAAAUUAAAUUUAAACUCAUGAUCUUAAAUUGGAGCUUGCCACUCACUUAUUCACAGCUAAGCCUGUUCCUUCCUAGACUAGGUAAUUUAUGCCCAUUAAUCUGCUCUAAGAAAUUCUCUUUUUCACUCACUCUCUGAUUUUUUCUGUCAAUAGGUAACACAGAAUAUAUGAUAGUGUGCAAGAGAUGUUUCCCUGACGUGAUUUCGAGAAGGGUGUUCUGUGUACGUGUAUACAGGUUGAACUAAUUUUUAUCCUUUAAGGAAAAUAAUAUAUAUUCCUCCCACCUUGUAUCUAGUCAUCUAUUGGACUGAAGUGCUGGCAAUCAAAUUUUGCCAAAUUACCUUAUGAUAAGAUCAGAGGUUUUCAACCUUUCUUGAUUUUUCAGACCCUACAACGUUUGCGGGGGAGGUGUCCUCGUUGCACGAUUUUCAGCCUGCUGACAACAGUCUCGGUUCGGUUUUGUUUCUAGUUGCUGUUCAUGGUCUCCCUAAAAGCACUGGAGGCUGUAGACUGAAAACUGCUGAGAUGGUUGGCAUUUUGGAAUAGCAAGUAUUUUCCUGUUGCAUUUCUAUGGUGCUGAGUGUGACGGAGCCUGUGGACUCUGCCACAAGACAAGGAAUAAGUCAUUACAGUUUAUUGCAAGCUGCAGUUAUACAAGCGCUUUAAGCUGUCCUAAGCGAACGCCCUUGCUGAAAGAAGCAUUUCUGCUCUCUGUCCACUCCUGGCUGCUUUUUCUGGCUGCUGUGCUCACACAAGUGUUCGUGUGGGAGAGUGGAGCUGCAUCUUCUGGAGCUGCUUGGGAGCAUGUGUGGUACCGAAGCCCUGGGGUGAACCCUCCCUGGCCCCAGGCUGAGCACAGGCCCUACCUUUCUCCCUCUCCCCUGACUUUCUUCUCCCAGUGCAGUUAGUGGGUGACUUUCAGAUUCAAAUCAGGCUCCUGCCUAGUUUCUCCCUGAAUGGGAGCUUGUUAGCAACUGAUUAGCCCCAGUUUUGAUAAAAGCUUCAUUGUUUUGUAACCUUUGUGGGCUCCUGCUAGCUGUGCUCCUAAUAAAAGUGGGAUUAAAUAGACACCUUGGGAGGGAGGCCGCUGCAAGUGGGAAUCUCUGAGUUUUGGGGGACAAGGGAUGGUUUAAGCAGCUCUGCGUGUCAGAGUUGAUUUUACCGAACUGGGGAAGAAGCCUGAUUUUCGGAUUGCG